rnacentral:rRNA from 1 species
AACGAACGCUGGCGGCAGGCCUAACACAUGCAAGUCGAGCGCGCCCUUCGGGGUGAGCGGCGGACGGGUGAGUAACGCGUGGGAACGUGCCCUUCUCUGCGGAAUAGCCUCGGGAAACUGAGAGUAAUACCGCAUACGCCCUUUGGGGGAAAGAUUUAUCGGAGAAGGAUCGGCCCGCGUUGGAUUAGGUAGUUGGUGGGGUAAUGGCCCACCAAGCCGACGAUCCAUAGCUGGUUUGAGAGGAUGAUCAGCCACACUGGGACUGAGACACGGCCCAGACUCCCAGGGGGGGCGGCGGGGGGGAAUCUAAGGAAAGGGGGCCAACCCUGAUCCGCCCAGGCCGGGGGGGUGGUGAAGGCUUUGGGGUUGAAAAGCUUUUGCAGCUGGGAAGAAAAGGAGGGAACCGGGAAAAAAAGCCCCGGUAAACUCCGU